UGCAAAACGACGCCGUUCGCUCGUGCUUCAAAACCCCCCAAAUACACACUCUCUCCGAACAAAUCAAGCAUUCCAUAGUUUUGAGCUAGGGCACGCUUCUCUCUCGCGGCCUCUUCUCUCCCUCGCGCCGCCACACAAAAAGGUUAUAGGCUUUAAAGAUGGCUGAUGGUCAUGAGACUGACAAGAACAUUGAGGUGUGGAAAAUCAAGAAAUUGAUCAAAGCUCUUGAGGCUGCUAGAGGAAAUGGGACAAGUAUGAUUUCCCUUAUCAUGCCCCCACGUGAUCAAAUAUCUCGUGUCACCAAGAUGCUUGGGGAUGAGUUUGGAACUGCAUCAAA